AUGUGUGGUGAUCCUUAUCUGUUUAUUUAUUUAGUCCCAUGGUUUAAAUAGUAAUAUGCUGAUGUUUUCUAAAUUUAUAUCACCAUCUUGAUCCUCUCCUCUGAAUUCUGGACUCUUCCAGUUUUCUGCUCAAUAUAUAAUACCUACUUAUAUAUCUAAGAAGCAUGCAAAAUUAGCUCAUCCAAAAUGGAACUUUGGAUCUUCCCCUGUAAACUUUCUUUUCCUCAUUUUAGUAGUCUAGUAGUUAGCCUUAGUAAAGGCCAAUAUCACUCAUCUAGUAGCACAGGCCAGAAACUCUGCAGUCAUCUUUGAUUUUUCUUUUUCUCUUAAUAGUCCAGUUCACUCUUAGCAACAUUAGUUGGUUCUUUAAUAAGAAUCUGAAAGGGCCAAGAAGCACAGACAUCUCAGUGGCAGUGUGCACAACUAUCCAGGUCUUAAUCUCUAACACUAUUCCCCACUGAAAGAACCAAGCACCCUGGAAAAAUGGAUGAUUCCAGCCUGGGGCAGGGUAGGUGAUUCUGGAACAGCUUGUUAUGCCAAGUUGUAUGGAAGUGCUGAAAAAAAUGAUGGGUACAUGUCACAAGGACAAAGGAGCCACUUACCAACUCUGAGACAAUUUGAGCACCAAAAUAGUUAUGUAUAGUAAUAAUUGUAAAUCAUUGGGGGGGAAAAAUAAGAAUUCAUUAAUUCAUACUGAUAAUAGAAAGACACAUAGGUAAAUGGGUGAGGAGGAUAGGCUCUUUUGGUAGAAUGCAGAGGCCAGCUGAUAAAUGUGGAAGAAUGCUCGCAUUGGAAAGUCCUUUACCAAUAGUAGUUAAGAUUGGGUCAACAAGAAUCAUCAAUAAAUUCUAAAUAUAUGAGGUAAUUUUGAUCAGAAGUAGAAUAUGUGGUCUUAAAAGUGUUCCUUAGAGAUUGAGUGUCAAGGGGAAAAAAGGAACAUUAAUAGUACAGACAAUAUCUUGACCAGCUGAUCAAAAUUAACAGCACCAGGGAGGGACAGAUGGACAUUCUGUGACUCCAGAUGUGUGAUGCUUUGAGAAGAUCACAACAUCCCCUGUGCAUCGCUGAGAAUGCAUAAUCUGAAUCUAAUCAUGAAGAAAUGUGAAAUGAGGCACAUCUUUAAAUGUGAAAUGAGGAACAUAUUUAAAAUAGGAGGAGAGGACUU